CAGUAGCCGCGGGAAUACGGAGGGUGCAAGCGUUAAUCGGAAUUACUGGGCGUAAAGCGCACGCAGGCGGUCUGACAAGUCAGAUGUGAAAUCCCCGGGCUUAACCUGGGAACUGCAUUUGAAACUGGCAAGCUAGAGUCUCGUAGAGGGGGGUAGAAUUCCAGGUGUAGCGGUGAAAUGCGUAGAGAUCUGGAGGAAUACCGGUGGCGAAGGCGGCCCCCUGGACGAAGACUGACGCUCAGGUGCGAAAGCGUGGGGAGCAAACAGGAUUAGAUACCCGUGUAGUCCCUGUCUCUUAUAA
rnacentral:rRNA from 1 species